CAACUGCAGCAGCUCCUAUAACAACAAUUGUAGCUGCUUCCACAAACAAAACAGCAGCACCUACUACGUCAAUCACAACUGCAGGUCCUACUAACAUUUUACCUCCUUCGACAACCACAACUGUAUCACCUACGACAACCUCAACAACUGUAGCUCCUACAAUGUCAAUCUCAACUGCAGGUCCUACUACCAUUUUACCUCCUACGACAACCACAACUGAAGCUAAUACAGAAAUCACAACUGUAGCUCCUACAACACCAAUCACAACUGCAGGUCCUAAAACCAUAUUAAUGACAACCGCCACUGCAACUUCUACUACAACUACAAAUGCAGGUCCUUCAACCACCACAACUGCAGCUCCUACAAGUACAACCACAAUUGCACUUCCUACCUCGACAACCACAACGGCAUCAUUUACCUCAACUUCUACGGCUUCAGUGGCAUCAACUAGAUUUGGCACAGUGGUGGUUUUUGUAAGACUAGAGUUCCAGCUCAACACAGCAGUCCCCAGUAAGGAUGUCGUCCUUGGUGCCGUCGACAAGAAACUGUCUACACAAUUCAGGACCUUCAAAAUUCAAAGAAACACUCAAGCCACCCUCCAGAAUGCAACUUAUAUCAAACUUUCAGAUACUUCAUUUGCUGUUGAUCUUGGUUUCAAAAUAACCAAUGUAUCCAUGGAGGAGAGACUGCUUCAAAGUGCUAGAGUCACUUUCACCGAUGAUACCUACAGCCAGAUACAGGAUUCAAUUAACAGCCUACUGCAUGAUAUUCUCAGUGAACCAACGGCAAACAAUUUGACUUUCCCAAAGCCAAAUUUAGUGUUGUUGGCAAUCAAAUCAGGGCAAACGUGACGUAUGUAUACAAAGAGAAAGACGUCAACCUCCCUAGUGCCUUUCUAGGGGAUGUUUUAAAAGGCUCAGGUCUCCUAACAACCACUGUUGCACCAACAACAUCUACCAGCACCUCACCACCUACUACCCCUUUGCUGUCCACUCCUUUCAGUAUAAGUGACAGAGGUUUUCCUGGCUGGGCUUUGGCCAUUAUCAUCCCCUGUGGCAUCGCUAUCAUUCUGGUACCCCUGUGGAUCCUGCUAUGUUGCAUGCUAUGUGGCGGCUGUGCAGCUUUAAGGAGACGCUGGCAACAACACAGAGCUUACAACGUACAGUACACCACAAGAAACGGCAUCUUCUGAGGUGACAAGACUAUCAAAAUAACAGCCAAUCAUCUAUAUCUGCUCAUCAUCACAACAAAUAAUAUAUUUUUCAUGUAAUCCAUACACCAUUAAGUUUGAGAAGAUCAAACACAGACUUGCUUUUAUUUUUAUAACAAAAUUGCAUUGUUCUUGAUAGGGUUAAUAGGUCACGUGUUUCCCCAAAGUACUACUUUUUAAUAUUAUAUAUUAUUUCUCAUUUUAGUCAAAGCUACAGCUGAGCUGGUAUAUUAUGCAUUUAUGUAAUUUAAUCAUUUAUAUACACAGAAAUAUUAUUUUUGAUUUUUGUCAUUUCCCCUGCUGAUUUAAGCUAUUAACUCACUAUAUUUGAAAGUCUGCAAUACAGCACUUGUUUCUUUAUCAUACAAUUUAACACAUGUAAUAAAAGCCUUUCAAAUCAA